rnacentral:rRNA from 1 species
GGGUGGCGGCGUGCAAGACAUGCAGUCGAGCGCUCAUUCGGUUGCAGCAAUGUGACCGAAUGGGAGCGGCGCAAGGGUGCGUAACACGUGGGUAAUUUGCCAAGAAGUUUGGGAUAACUCGCUGAAAGGCGAGCUAAUACCGGAUGUGAUAAUCGGGAGGCAUCUCUUGAUUAUUAAAGUUGGGGACCGUAAGGCCUGACGCUUCUUGAUAAGCCCGCGGCCUUUCAGCUAGUUGGUGAGGUAACGGCUCACCAAGGCUAAGACGGGUAGCUGGUCUGAGAGGACGACCAGCCACACUGGAACUGAGACACGGUCCAGACACCUACGGGUGGCAGCAGUCGAGAAUUUUUCACAAUGGGCGAAAGCCUGAUGGAGCGACGCCGCGUGGGGGAUGAAGGGCUUCGGCUCGUAAACCCCUGUCAUUUGCGAACAAACCUCGCUAUUUAAAAGAUGGCGAGCUGAUGGUAGCGAAAGAGGAAGGGACGGCUAACUCUGUGCCAGCAGCCGCGGUAAUACAGAGGUCCCAAGCGUUGUUCGGAUUCACUGGGCGUAAAGGGUGCGUAGGUGGUAAGGUAAGUCGGAUGUGAAAGCUCCGAGCUCAACUCGGAAAUGGCAUUGGAAACUACCUUGCUCGAGGGUUUGAGGGGGGACUGGAAUACUUGGUGUAGCAGUGAAAUGCGUAGAUAUCAAGUGGAACACCAGUGGCGAAGGCGAGUCCCUGGAAAACUCCUGACACUGAGGCACGAAAGCUAGGGGAGCAAACAGGAUUAGAUACCCUGGUAGUCCUAGCCGUAAACGGUGCGUAUUUGCUGUAAAAGGAAUCGACCCCUUUUGUGGCGUAGCCAACGCGUUAAAUACGCCGCCUGGGAAGUACGGUCGCAAGAUUAAAACUCAAAGAAAUUGACGGGGGCCUGCACAAGCGGUGGAGUAUGUGGCUUAAUUUCGAUGCAACGCGAAGAACCUUACCUGGCCUUGACAUGCAAGUAGUAGAACCAUGAAAGUGGGACGACCCCCGCAAGGGGGAGCUUGCACAGGUGCUGCAUGGCUGUCGUCAGCUCGUGUCGUGAGAUGUUGGGUUAAGUCCCGCAACGAGCGCAACCUUGUGUCCUGUGCCCACCCCUACGAGAGUAGGGAGCACUUCUGGAACAAGAACUGCCUCCGCUAACGAGGGAGGACGGGUGGGAUGACGUCAAGUCAGUAUAUGGUCCUACGGGUCAGGACUUGCAACGUACUUUCAAUGACCGGCACAGGAAGGGUCAGC